rnacentral:tRNA from 1 species
GAGGGCAUAGCUCAGUGGUAGAACACAUGCUCAGCAUGCACGAGGUCUGGGUUCAAUCCCUAGUACCUCCA